ACGCCUAACACAUGCAAGUCGAACGAAGUAGCAAUACUUAGUGGCAGACGGGUGAGUAACAUGUAGGUAUCUACCCUGUGGCCUGGAAUAACACGAGGAAACUUGUGCUAAUACCGGAUAAGUCUUUACGGAGAAAGCUUUAUGCACCAUUGGAUGAGCCUGCACUUGAUUAGUUAGUUGGUAGGGUAAUGGCUUACCAAGACUUUGAUCAAUAGCUGAUUUGAGAGGAUGAUCAGCCACAUUGGGACUGAGACACGGCCCAAACUCCUACGGGAGGCAGCAGUGGGGAAUCUUGCACAAUGGAGGAAACUCUGAUGCAGCGAUGCCGCGUGAGUGAAGAAGGCCCUUGGGUUGUAAAGCUCUUUCGUCGGGGAAGAAAAUGACUGUACCCGAAUAAGAAGGUCCGGCUAACUUCGUGCCAGCAGCCGCGGUAAUACGAAGGGACCUAGCGUAGUUCGGAAUUACUGGGCUUAAAGAGUUCGUAGGUGGUUGAAAAAGUUGGUGGUGAAAUCCCAGAGCUUAACUCUGGAACUGCCAUCAAAACUUUUCAGCUAGAGUUUGAUAGAGGAAAGCAGAAUUUCUAGUGUAGAGGUGAAAUUCGUAGAUAUUAGAAAGAAUACCAAUUGCGAAGGCAGCUUUCUGGAUCAUUACUGACACUGAGGAACGAAAGCAUGGGUAGCGAAGAGGAUUAGAUACCCUCGUAGUCCAUGCCGUAAACGAUGUGUGUUAGACGUUGGAAAUUUAUUUUCAGUGUCGCAGCGAAAGCGAUAAACACACCGCCUGGGGAGUACGACC
rnacentral:rRNA from 1 species